rnacentral:SRP_RNA from 1 species
CUUUGGGCUCUGUGCAACGGGCAGCCGUAAACCCCGCCAGGUCCGGAAGGAAGCAACGGUAGCGGAUGUGUUCGUGUGCCGCAGAGCACCCGGGGCCU